UCGGACGUGGUGUACGGUGCACAGCCUCUCUUCUUGCACGAGAUCUCAUCACAGAAAAUAUGAGGCAGACCGGGGUUCGAUUCCCCGUGUCCGAA